CACUCCCAACCCCUGUGACAUACCUUAAUGUUGCCUCGGCGGAUCAGCCCGCGCCCCGUAAAACGGGACGGCCCGCCAGAGGACCCAAACUCUAAUGUUUCUUAUUGUAACUUCUGAGUAAAACAAACAAAUAAAUCAAAACUUUCAACAACGGAUCUCUUGGUUCUGGCAUCGAUGAAGAACGCAGCAAAAUGCGAUAAGUAAUGUGAAUUGCAGAAUUCAGUGAAUCAUCGAAUCUUUGAACGCACAUUGCGCCCGCUGGUAUUCCGGCGGGCAUGCCUGUUCGAGCGUCAUUUCAACCCUCAAGCCCCCGGGUUUGGUGUUGGGGAUCGGCUCUGCCCUUCUGGGCGGUGCCGCCCCCGAAAUACAUUGGCGGUCUCGCUGCAGCCUCCAUUGCGUAGUAGCUAACACCUCGCAACUGGAACGCGGCGCGGCCAUGCCGUAAAACCCCAACUUCUGAAUGUUGACCUCGGAUCAGGUAGGAAUACCCGCUGAACUUAAGCA
rnacentral:rRNA from 1 species